CAUGAAGUGCUGGGAACCAUCUUGGAUUCCUCGCUUCGAGUGCGAAUGCCCGCUCGUUACUCCGAAAAAAAACUUGUGGAAUGUUAAUAUCCGAACAGAAAUAAAAUAAUUUGAGAAGGUUUUUUUUGCUACAUUGCCUUUGACGUGGAUAAAGGAGGACGUGCUGUGGCAUGUUACAGACUUCUGAACUGGAACAGCUAACGCUCUGCACUUUGUCUUCAGGAGCGCUUUUGUGAUGCUGUUCACCUUGAUCAGCUAAGACUACAGAUUAUAGAUGAAGUCAAGAAAAGUGAAAAGAAUCAUGUCCUGAUUACAAAGCUGAUGCACACAACUUUGGCCUUGUGAUGCAAAGAGAUCAUCAAUGAUGACCUACCAGUAGGUCAGAUCCUGGAUUGCUGGCCUACUCUGAAAUUCCAGUCCCAGAUCUGUGCAGAAUUCCACAGGAUUACAAACCUCGACCUGAAGAACCACUUUUAUGCUGUGUUGGACCAACAGGCUCCCCGGCUCCAGAGCUUAUUCAGAAAGAAAGCUGUUUGCACAGGG